rnacentral:rRNA from 1 species
GGUGGUUAUAGCGACGGGGCUCACCUCUUACCAUUCCGAACAGAGAAGUUAAGCCCGUUAGCGCCGAUGGUACUGCAUUGUGGGAGAGUAGGUCGUUGCCU